UAUUUUAGCUAGGAGUGCUGCUAAACGGGCAGCUGAGAAAAAGAACCCAUUCUUUUAUCCUCGUACCUGAUCCAGAUAAUACUGGCGUAGGAAAGCUUGCAGAUCUCUUA
rnacentral:ncRNA from 2 species